GAGAGAUUCCGUCCCCACCGAAAGAUUUAAGCACAGGGACACUUUUUGAAGGUCGGAGCCAGGUGUUGGUUCUGGUAGUGAUCGAGGGAAAUAUAGUACCGAAGUCCGGCUGGAAGAGAGGCGAGAAAAGCUGUGUGUAUAUCUAAGGUGCCCGUACCGCAAACCGACACAGGUAGGUAGGAAGAAGAUUCUAAGGCCAACGGGAGAAGGGUUGUUAAGGAACUCGGCAAGUUGACCCCGUAACUUCGGAAUAAGGGGUGCUCACGAGAGUGAGCCGCAGAGAAUAGGCCCAGGCAACUGUUUACCAAAAACACAGGUUUGUGCUAAAUCGAAAGAUGACGUAUACGAGCUGACGCCUGCCCGGUGCUGGAAGGUUAAAAGGAGAUGUGCAAGCAUUGAAUUGAAGCCCCAGUGAACGGCGGCCGUAACGAUAACGGUCCUAAGGUAGCGAAAUUCCUUGUCAGGUAAGUUCUGACCCGCAUGAAAGGCGUAAUGAUCUGGGCACUGUCUCAACAGCCCGCCCGGCGAAAUUGUAGUACCGGUGAAGAUGCCGGUUACCCGCGACAAGACGGAAAGACCCCAUGGAGCUUUACUGUAGCCUGAUAUUGGGUUUCGGUGUUGCAUGCACAGGAUAGAUGGGACGCUGGGAAAGAAGCGCUUUGGCGUUUCUGGAGCGGACGUUGGGAUACCAUCCUUGCGACAUUGGAAUUCUAACCUGCGCCUCUGAAUCGAGGCGGGGGACAUUGUCAGGUGGGCAGUUUGACUGGGGCGGUCGCCUCCUAAAAAGUAGCGGAGGCGUUCAAAGGUUCGUUCGAUCUGGACGGAAACCAGAUGAUUGAGUGCAAACGCAUAAACGAGCCUGACUGCGAGACUGACGGGUCGAGCAGAGACGAAAGUCGGAGUUAGUGAUCCGGUGGUAUGUGAGUGGAAAUGCCAUCGCUCAACGGAUAAAAGUUACCCUGGGAUAACAGGCUGAUCUCCCCCAAGAGUCCACAUCGACGGGGAGGUUUGGCACCUCGAUGUUGGCUCAUCGCAUCCUGGGGCUGAAUUCGGUCCCAAGGGUUUGGCUGUUCGCCAAUUAAAGCGGUACGCGAGCUGGGUUCAGAACGUCGUGAGACAGUUCGGUCCCUAUCUGUCGUGGGCGCAGGAUAUUUGAAAGGCGCUGUCCCUAGUACGAGAGGACCGGGAUGGACGAACCUCUGGUGCACCAGUUGUCACGCCAGUGGCACAGCUGGGCAGCUAUGUUCGGAUCGGAUAAACGCUGAAAGCAUCUAAGCGUGAAGCCGGCCUUAAGAUAAGAUAUCCCACUGAGUCAAUCAGGUAAGACCCCUUGAAGACUACAAGGUUGAUAGGCACACAGUGUGAGCGGAGUGGUCCGUUCAGCUAGCGUGUACUAAUAGGUCGAGGGCUUG
rnacentral:rRNA from 1 species